rnacentral:rRNA from 1 species
AGAGUUUGAUCAUGGCUCGGAACGAACGCUGGCGGCAGGCCUAACACAUGCAAGUCGAGCGCUACCUUCGGGUGGAGCGGCGGACGGGUUAGUAACGCGUGGGAAUAUACCCUUCACUAUGGAAUAGCCUCGGGAAACUGAGAGUAAUACCAUAUACGCCCUUCGGGGGAAAGAUUUAUCGGUGAAGGAUUAGCCCGCGUAAGAUUAGAUAGUUGGUGGGGUAAUGGCCUACCAAGUCUACGAUCUUUAGCUGGUUUUAGAGGAUGAUCAGCAACACUGGGACUGAGACACGGCCCAGACUCCUACGGGAGGCAGCAGUGGGGAAUCUUAGACAAUGGGCGAAAGCCUGAUCUAGCCAUGCCGCGUGAGUGAUGAAGGUCUUAGGAUCGUAAAGCUCUUUCGCUAGGGAUGAUAAUGACAGUACCUAGUAAAGAAGCCCCGGCUAACUCCGUGCCAGCAGCCGCGGUAAUACGGAGGGGGCUAGCGUUGUUCGGAAUUACUGGGCGUAAAGCGUACGUAGGCGGAUCAGAAAGUAUGGGGUGAAAUCCCAGGGCUUAACCCUGGAACUGCCUCAUAAACUCCUGGUCUUGAGUUCGAGAGAGGUGAGUGGAAUUCCAAGUGUAGAGGUGAAAUUCGUAGAUAUUUGGAGG